rnacentral:rRNA from 1 species
UACGUAGGGGGCAAGCGUUAUCCGGAUUUAUUGGGCGUAAAGAGCUCGUAGGCGGCCGUUCGCGUCGGAUGUGAAAGCUCAGGGCUCAACUCUGAGACGCCAUUCGAUACGGGACGGCUAGAGGUAGGUAGGGGAAAGUGGAAUUCCUGGUGUAGCGGUGAAAUGCGCAGAUAUCAGGAGGAACACCGGUGGCGAAGGCGGUUUUCUGGGCCUUACCUGACGCUGAGGAGCGAAAGCUGGGGGAGCGAACAGG